UGGGGAAUAUUGCACAAUGGGCGCAAGCCUGAUGCAGCGACGCCGCGUGAGGGAUGAAGGCCUUCGGGUUGUAAACCUCUUUCGUCAGGGAACAAGGCACCGCUUUUUUGGUGGUGUUGAGGGUACCUGGAUAAGAAGCGCCGGCUAACUACGUGCCAGCAGUCGCGGUAAUACGUAGGGCGCAAGCGUUGUCCGGAAUUAUUGGGCGUAAAGAGCUCGUAGGCGGCUGGCCGCGUCUGUCGUGAAAACUUCCGGCUCAACCGGGGGCUUGCGGUGGGUACGGGCCGGCUAGAGUGCGGUAGGGGUAACUGGAACUCCUGGUGUAGCGGUGGAAUGCGCAGAUAUCAGGAAGAACACCGAUGGCGAAGGCAGGUUACUGGGCCGUUACUGACGCUGAGGAGCGAAAGCGUGGGGAGCGAACAGGAUUAGAUACCCUGGUAGUCCACGCUGUAAACGUUGGGCACUAGGUGUGAGGCUCCUUUCCGGGGGUUUUGCGCCGUAGCUAACGCAUUAAGUGCCCCGCCUGGGGAGUACGGCCGCAAGGCUA
rnacentral:rRNA from 1 species